GAAGUGAUGAUGAGGUGAAGCACUUGAAGAAAGUGUUAAAGGGUAGUGGACGAGUCUUCGGACUGGCCGUGAACUCUUAAUUAUUAAACGACUUCUCCUUCCACUGAGCUUU